ensembl:lncRNA
AGACAGAGAGAGCUCCUUCCAAUUGUUUUAUUGAUCUAGAGACAGUGUCUCACUCGGUCGCCCUGGCUGGAGUGCAGUGGUGCCAUCGUAGCUCACUCACUGCAGUCUAGACACUCCUUGGUUCAAGACAUUCCUCCGCCUCAGCCUCCAGAGUACCUGGGACCACAGGCACAUGCCACUGUGAUCAGAUCAUUCAUUCAUUUUUCUGAGACGGGGUUUCACCAGGUUGGUCUGCAACUCCCGACCUCGGGUGAUCCGCCCGCCUCGGCUUCCCAAAGUGCUGUGAUGACAGGCGUGAGCCACCGGGCCCGGCCCCUCAGAUCAGUUUUUCAAUGUUUUCUAGGCCGGGCGCUGUGGCUCACGCCUAGAAUUCCAGCACUUUGGGAGGCCGAGGUGGGUGGAUCACGAGCUCGAGAGAUCGAGACCAUCCUGGUCAACCGGGUGAAACCCCGUCUCUACUAAAAAUACAGAAAUUAGCUGGGCAUGGUGCUGCGUGCCUGUAGUCCUGGCUACUCGGGAGGUUGACGCGGGAGAAUUGCCUGAACCCAGGAGGCGGAGGUUGCGGUGAGCCGAGAUCGUGCCAUUGCCCUCCAGCCUGGUGGGUAACGAGAGCGAAGCUCCGUCUCAAAACAAACAAACAAACAGAUCAAUUGCAACGAAGUGAUGAGACCCUGUCUGUAGACCCUUUCUACAGGCAGGGUCUCAUCACUUCGUUGCAAUCCUCCCGACCUGGCGUCUCAAAGUUUUGGGAUGAUGGAUGGGCUCGAGCCACACUGUGCCUGGCCUCCGGGGACUGAUUCGCGACCACAACUGACGUGCUAAUAUUUUCUUCUUUUUUCUCCUUCUUCUUUUUGAGACGGAGCCUCGCUCUGUGCCAGGCGAAGGGAGGCGCAUCGCUUCGGAAGCGGCAGCCGAGCCGCCUUCUAGAGCCCCAUUCAAAGGCAGACAGCCCUGUUUCCCUUCUGGAGUCGGAGGUGAUGGCUCCCAUGGCCUCGGGCUCCACUCCAUUCGGCAGGCGCCGCCCCACAAGAAGGCUGGCUGUGGCUGUGGCUGGGGGUGGGGGGACGCGGUGGGGCUGGCUGGAAGAGUCUCCUUUUCUGCUUCGUCCUUCGGUAGCUGGAAUGACGGGCGCGCACCACCACGCCCCCCGGCUACUUUUCCUAUUUUCAGGAGGGAUGGGGUUUCGCCAUGUUGGUCAGGCUGGCCUCGAACUCCUGACCUCAAGUGAUCCGCCCUCUUGGGCCUCCCAAAGUGCUGGGAUGACGGGCGUGAGCCGCCAGCACUUCACCCUUGAAGAGCAAGCGCGCGGGCGGGGAGCGGGGCGUGGGCCGCCGGGCCUCGGCCUGCUUUUUCUUUUGUUACUAGAGAAGAAAAUGGCGUGGGCCCUCUCGCUAUCACGGUAUACACUCUGCUAUUCUGUGGGAUACGCCGUGCGUGUGAGUGCGUGCGUGGGUACGUCCGUGCGUGCGUGCGUGCGUGCGUACGUACGUACCUACGCACGUACGUAGGUGCGUGUGUUUCUGCGCGUAUUGCCGAGUCACGGUGCUUCCUUCCCCCUCAGGGUCUCCGCUCCAUUAGUUGUGGGGGAAAUGCCUGGGAGGGUGCCGGGCUGACACUUGCAUAUGUUGUCAUCGGGCGUCACCUAGCGGUCACCGGUUCUCCGAAGUCUAGGCGGCGUGACGGGACGCUCUGGCCGCCCGCCCACCGUCAGGAGAGACUGUGGCUUCUCUCUGCCACCCGCCCCCCACCUCCCCCCACUUAGAGGCCCGCCCUCCCUUAGUCCAUUCGUCCCCCACCCCCACCCCCACCCCCACCCCCGACUCCCUCGUUGCCCAGACGACCCCUGGAGACCCUGGCCGGGCCCGAUUGUUCUUCUCUUUGAUCCGUUGUUUCCCUUUCUUUCUUGGUGUCUUUCUUAACCCAUAUGGACCCUUCUGCCUGGGUUUUGUGGAUGACAGCUCCACUUUAGGCCUUGUCGUUAGUGGGGACUUUCCCGAUUCUCCCCAGAUGUAGCGAAAGCAGGUAGAUGUCCAGAGUGUGCUCGUAAAUGGCGUUUCCCAGAAAUCAUCGAAUGAGUGUGGAGGAAGAAACAUGCGGUGCCCCCCUUUCGAGGCAGCGAUGCCAGCAAUCAUGAAUUAGGUGUCAUUGCUGGAGUCGGCUUGUUUCCUGAGUUGCCCUCCGUGCCCACCCCCACCCCAGUCUUGAAUACAUUUUAGAAUAACCUACUGUGCCUCCGUCCCUUCCCCUUCCUCUUUGUGUCCCCUCCUGCUCCCCUUGGUUUCUCUCCUUCCACUCAGGCAUAUCCCCCCUUCUUUCUUUCUUUCUCUUUCUCUCUCUCUCUCUCUCUCUCCCCCCCUCCCCACCCGCCACCCCUCCCUCCCUCCCUCCCUCCCUCCCUAGGUAAACUCACUCAACCACCCUGGCCCAGGCCCUCAUAGUCAUUUUUCUUCUUUUUUUUGGAAACAGAGUCUCACUCUGUCACCCAGGCUGGAGUUCGAGGGCACGAUCUCGGCUCGCGGCGGCCUCUGCCUCCCGGGUUAAGGCGAUUCUCCUGCCUCAGCCUCCUGAGUGGCUGGGGGUUACAGGCAUGCACUGCCACGCCCGGAGAAGUUCUUUCUUUCUUUCUUUCUUUCUUUCUUUCUUUCUUUCUUUCUUUCUUUCUUUCUUUCUUUCUUUCUUUCUUUGAUUAAAAUUAAAGAAGUUUAUUUGUAUUGUUAGCAGAGACGGGGUUUCACCAUGUUGGCCAGCCUGUUGUUGGACUCCUGACCUCAGGUGGCCCACCCGCCUCAGCCUCCCCAGAGUGCUGGGAUGACAGGCCUGAGCCACCGCGCCCGGCUCAUUGUCACUUUUAACGGUUACCUUACGUGUGGCAUUUUUAUUUUCCUGGCCAACAUAUUCCUAAGGUGGAAGGUGUGUCGCAGCCCCUCCCCGGGCCUUACUAUGCCGGUAGAGGAUUUUUCGAAAAGAAAUCUGUCUGUGCUUUCUCCUUUAGUUUCUCUCUCCCUAAUUGCCUUCUCCAGUUCUUUCUUUCUUGUUUGUUUCUUUUGUCGUUUUCUGUGUUUCGUUCGUUGUUCCUGUGUUUCUUUCGUUGUUUCUGUGUUUCUUGUGUGGUAUUUUUUUUUUUUUUUUUUUUGAGAUGGAGUUUCCCUUUUGUUACCCAGGCUGGAGUGCAAUGGCGCGAUCUCGGCUCACCGCAACCUCCACCUCCUGGGUUCAGGCAAUUCUCCUGCCUCAGCCUCCUGAGUAGCUGGGAUGACAGGCACGCACCAGCAUGCCCAGCUAAUCUUUUGUAUCUUUAGUAGAAAUGGGGUUUCACCAUGUUGACCUGGAUGGUCUCUAUCUCUUGACCCCGUGAUCCACCCACCUUGGCCUCCCAAAGAGCUGGGAUUACAGGCUUGAGCCACCGCGACCGGCUCCUUCCUUCCUUCCUUUCUCUCUUUCUCUCUCUCUCUCUCUCUCUCUCUCUCUUCUUCUUUCUUUCUUUUUUCCUUUUUUCUUUAUUUUGAGACAAGAGUCUCACUCUGUCACCCAGGCUGGAGUGCGAUGGCGCGAUCUCAGCUCACGGUGACCUCCACCUCCGGGGUUCAAGCGAUUCUCCUGCCUCUGCCUCCUGAGUGGCUGGGGUUACAGGCAUGUGCCACCACGUCCGGAGAAUUUGUUUUUCUUUUCCUUUUUUAUUUUUAACAUUAAAAUUAAAGAGGUUCUUUUUUUUUUUUUUUUUUUUUAAUAAUUACUUUUAUUUUUAAUGUCCAGAAUGUGUAAUAUAAGGGCCAGAGCCUCCUCCUGGACUCAAUUUUAUAAAUUCUCAAUUGGUUGGUGAGGCCAAUAGGGAUACUUUUGCUUGUCCAAUUUGGUUUCUGGGAAAGCUUCGUUCAAGUCCUCAAUGGUCAUCUGUUCAAAUGGAAUUAAGUUCUUAUACUUCUCCAUCUUUUUCUCAUAUUCUACAACCCUGGCCUUUGAGAGAGACACCCACUCAGCACAAGACUUCACAUCUUCUUUUUCUUCAGCAUCCACCAGGGCAGUAUAUGGAUCCUCUGGUAUAGGAACCUUCAGGGCAUUAAACUUCUUCUCAAAGUCAUCCACCAAGCCUGCUUUGGCCACAUUGGCCUUGUAGUAAGCCCAGUCAAUAGAUGGUGGAUUCUCAGGUAAAGCAGCCAACCUGGAGGUUAGGAUCUCAUUCC